rnacentral:lncRNA from 1 species
UCACUUCUUCAGUGUCCCUCUGCUCAAACCUCUCGGGGAGCAUACAGAUGGGCAGGCUGUGGGACUCCGACCCCACAGCAGUUUCCACGGAUUAAGAAAAAGAGCAAGAAAAGAUUAAUUGACUGUCAACACCCCUACUAGAAAAGCAAAGGCUGGUUUUGCCAUCAAAACUUGGUUCUUCUGGGGAGCGAUAUUCUGCUUAGUUUGUGAACUGGGAUGGAAGGGAACCCUACAUGAGCAGGCUCUACAGGCUGCCUUCUUCUCCUGUUAUGCAUGAAUCACUGUGGAGGACUGUCUUCCAAUAAACCAAAGGAAUCUGAUGAACCACACCUUCAAAAUAAAAGCAUAUGCUCACUACAUUUUCUUUAUACUCAAUUACAUGUCAACCUCUCCAUUUCAAUCCUUUUUUUUUGCCUGUUUCAAGAGAUACAGACCUUUAAUAUAACAGAUAUUGAUAAUCAUUGGCUUAUGUCUUCCUGCAGUACAAUUUGUCUUUUAGUCUAGGAGUUUCUGUGUGUACAGUUUCAGAGUUUAAAGAAUUACUAUGUUAUUUUACAGAGAAACAAUUCAUACUACUUUCAUCAAGGUGCACAGGUUUAAUGUUUUUUAUAUCUGAACUAUUCAUCUUUUGAAUUUUUCCUUUUUCUGUUGUUAACGUCGUCAAAAGUAACAAUAUCUUGAGUUCUAACAACAGUUAGUGUUACUUAUUGCAUGUAUUGAAAUGUAUAGAAACUCCUUA